rnacentral:rRNA from 1 species
UACGUAGGGGGCAAGCGUUGUCCGGAGUUACUGGGCGUAAAGCGCACGCAGGCGGUCUCUUAAGUUUGGAGUGACAGUUGGUGGCUUAACUGCCAAAGUGCUUCGAAAACUGAGAGACUUGAGGGCUUCAGAGGGGACACGGAAUUCCGGGUGGAGUGGUGAAAUGCGCAGAUAUCAGGAGGAACACCGGUGGCGAAGGCGGGUCUCUGGGCAACAACUGACGCUGAGGAGCGAAAGCGUGGGGGAGCGAACAGG